GACGAACGCUGGCGGCGUGCUUAACACAUGCCAGUCGAACGGAAAGGCCCUGCUUUUGUUGGGUGCUCGAGUGGCGAACGGGUGAGUAUCACGUGAGUAACCUGCCCUUGACUUUGGGAUAACUUCAGGAAACUGGGGCUAAUACCCGAUAGGAGCUCCUGCUGCAUGGUGGGGGUUGGAGAGUUUCGGCGGUUGGGGAUGGACUCGCGGCUUAUCAGCUUGUUGGUGGAGUAGGGGCGUACCAAGGCUUUGACGGGUAGCCGGCCUGAGAGGGGGACCGGGCACAUGGGGACUGAGAUACGGCGCAGAAUCCUACGGGAGGCAGCAGUGGGGAAUAUUGCACAAUGGGCGGGAGCCUGAUGCAGCAGCGCCGCGUGCGGGAUGACGGCCUUCGGGUUGUAAACCGCUUUCGCCUGUGACGAAGCGUGAGUGACGGUAAUGGGUAAAGAAGCACCGGCUAACUACGUG
rnacentral:rRNA from 1 species